CGAGUGGAUACACCCCGAAUGGGCCCUGGGCCUGAGCUCCCCUCCGGGAUUUGCGCUGCCCUGGGGCUGUCUUGGGCUCCAGUGUUUUAACUCCUCCUCUGUGAGGGCGGCCUCUCGGUCUGCAGGAAAUUCACCCUGGAACUCAGGCGGAGGAAGCUGAGCCCUUGGCUUGUUCGCUGACUUGAGUGGUAAGGAGCCGCCCUGCAGGGAACCCCUGUCCUCUGAAGACGCAGGGUCCCCGUGGUGAC
rnacentral:lncRNA from 1 species